UACGUAGGGGGCGAGCGUUGUCCGGAAUUAUUGGGCGUAAAGGGCGUGUAGGCGGCCGAUCAAGUCAGGUGUGAAAUUCCAGGGCUCAACCCUGGACGUGCACUUGAAACUGGUUGGCUUGAGUGCAGAAGAGGAAAGUGGAAUUCCCAGUGUAGCGGUGAAAUGCGUAGAUAUUGGGAGGAACACCAGUGGCGAAGGCGACUUUCUGGUCUGUAACUGACGCUGAGGCGCGAAAGCUAGGGGAGCAAACAGGG
rnacentral:rRNA from 1 species